rnacentral:misc_RNA from 1 species
GAUGAAGAACGUAGCGAAAUGUGAAAAGUAGUGUGAAUUGCAGAAUUCAGUGAAUCAUCGAAUCUUUGAACGCACAUUGCGCCCCCUGGUAUUCCGGGGGGCAUGCCUGUCCGAGCGUCAUUACAACCCUCAAGCUCAGCUUGGUGUUGGGCCCCGCCGCCCCGGCGGGCCCUAAAGUCAGUGGCGGUGCCGUCCGGCUCCGAGCGUAGUAAUUCUUCUCGCUCUGGAGGUCCGGUCGUGUGCUCGCCAGCAACCCCCAAUUUUUUUCAGGUUGACCUCGGAUCAGGUAGGGAUACCCGCUGAACUUAAGCAUAUCAAUAAGCGGAGGA